AGAGGAGCAUAUUCAGAAAGCCAUUGAAGCUAAAAUGGAUGCUUUGCUUCAGUCUCUUUGGCAAAUCAAUGUUCUAGACAUCGAGUCAACUCUUUCUCAUGUCUGCCAAUCUGUGCUUAGAGAUCCAAGUGUUUCCAAAGAUGUUCUUAGAGCUCGAGCCGCAGGACUAAGGAAACUUGGAACGAUCUUGCAGAACCAAUGUAUAAACUAGGACCGUGUGCAUCUCUCUGUUUCUGUUAGGGUGCUAAGAAGCCGUACACCAGAGGAAGCAGCUUACGUCACGAAGCCGUGAAACUGGACACCGGAGGUUCUUCAACGGCGACGUCCUGAAACUCCCAUUAUCUUUCGCCAGCUAUAAAACAGAGAGAAACCGGAAUUUAAAUGGCUGUUUUUUUUUUUCCACCUUUUCUUUUUGCUAUCGUCUCAAGUUUGGAUUUGUCUUUUGGUCUUUUUAUUUUAAUUAUUUUCACAGUUUUGUAGUAGAGAUUGUUUUCUGAGAAAAUGAUUCAUCAAUAGAUCAAACCUAACCCCUAUUAAGGCCACGGCAUAGUAUUGA